UCCACCAGUGGCAGCAGUAAGAGACCUAGUCCCCUUCUGCCAGGACCUGAACCGCACGCAGCCUGCAUCUCUUCUUCCUUCACCCACAUUGGCUCCAUCCUAUGCUGCAAGGGACCUUAUGAAUGUCCAUGUGGACACUCAGGCCACCCAGAGUCUGAGUCCUGCUGGAACAUCCUUCACACCGGAUAGACAGGAUGACAGCUGGAGGGGGACACUGUGAGAUACUGAAGAAGGAAGUCUCUUUAAAGUCUUGUUGGUCGGAGCCAGGGAGCAGACAUGGUGUAUGAUGCAUCACCCGAAAAUGUGAUCCAGACAGACGCAACCAUAGGCUGACCUCAGAGCCACGCUUGCCCCAUCAGCCAAAAAUAUAAUGGCAACGGGAUGAUCAACAAAGUUGGUCUGGACACCAGAGAAUCCUUGAGAAACACAUGGGAAGCCAAUGGUAAAUGAU